rnacentral:rRNA from 1 species
UACAGAGGGUGCGAGCGUUAAUCGGAUUUACUGGGCGUAAAGGGCGCGUAGGCGGUCAAAUGAGUGUGAUGUGAAAGCCCCGGGCUUAACCGGGAAGUGCAUCGCAAACGAUUUGACUGGAGUAGAUGAGAGGGUGGUGGAAUUUCCGGUGUAGCGGUGAAAUGCGUAGAGAUCGGAAGGAACGUCAAUGGCGAAGGCAGCCACCUGGCAUCAUACUGACGCUGAGGCGCGAAAGCGUGGGGAGCGAACAGG